GAUGAACGCUGGCGGCGUGCCUAAUACAUGCAAGUCGAGCGAAGCGGGGACGGGUGAGUAACACGUGGAUAACCUCCUAUAAGACUGGGAUAACUUCGGGAAACCGGAGCUAAACCGGAAACUUAUAGAUGGCUCCGCGCUACAUUAGCUAGUUGGUAAGGUAACGGCUUACCAAGGCAACGAUGCAUAGCCGACCUGAGAGGGUGAUCGGCCACACUGGAGCUGAGACAGGGUCCAGACUCCUACGGGCGGCAGCAGUAGUGAAUCUUCCGCGAUGGGAGAAAGCCUGACGGAGCAAAGCCGCGUGAGUGAUGAAGGGCUACGGAUCGUAAGACUCUGUUAUUAGGAAAGCGGUACCUAAUCAGAAAGCCACGGCUAACUACGUGCCAGCAGCCGCGGUAAUUC
rnacentral:rRNA from 1 species